UGGAUCCAGACUUUGAUUCUGGCUCAGGAUGAACGCUAGCGGCAGGCUUAACACAUGCAAGUCGAGGGGCAGCGCGGGAUAGCAGUAUUCUGGCGGCGACCGGCGGAAGGGUGCGUAACGCGUGAGCGACAUGCCCGUUGCCCGGGGACAACCGGUGGAAACGCCGACUAAUCCCCGAUGGGAUACGAUGCUUCAUGGCAUUGUAUUGAAAGUUACGGCGGCGACGGAUUGGCUCGCGUCCGAUUAGCUGGUUGGCGGGGUGACGGCCCACCAAGGCUACGAUCGGUAGGGGUUCUGAGAGGAAGGCCCCCCACAAUGGGACUGAGACACGGCCCAUACUCCUACGGGAGGCAGCAGUGAGGGAUAUUGGUCAAUGGGCGGAAGCCUGAAUCAGCCAUGCCGCGUGCGGGAAGGAGGCCCUAUGGGCUGUGAACCGCUUUUGCCUGGGGGCAAUAAGGGCGUCGCGCACGUCCGAUGAGAGUACCAGGCGAAUAAGCAUCGGCUAACUCCGUGCCAGCAGCCGCGGUAAUACGGGGGAUGCGAGCGUUAUCCGGAUUCAUUGGGUUUAAAGGGUGCGUAGGCUGUGCGUCAAGUCGGGGGUGAAAUUCCGGUGCUCAACACCGGGGCUGCCCUUGAUACUGUCGCGCUGGAGUGCGGAUGCCGCCGGAGGAAUGAGUGGUGUAGCGGUGAAAUGCUUAGAUAUCACUCAGAACACCGAUUGCGAAGGCAUCUGGCGAAUCCGUAACUGACGCUGAGGCACGAAAGCGUGGGGAUAGAACAGGAUUAGAUACCCUGGUAUUCCACGCCGUAAACGAUGAUGGCUAACCGCCGGCGACACACUGUCGGUGGCCAAGCGAAAGCGAUAAGCCAUCCACCUGGGGAGUACGUCGGCAACGAUGCAACUCAAAUGAAUUGACGGA
rnacentral:rRNA from 1 species